rnacentral:misc_RNA from 1 species
UAGUUAUGUACGUGUCUAAAGUCGGGUCUUUAUGAAUUUUUCUUUCAAUUUUAGAACCCUACUUACCUUACACAAAUAAAGUCUAUUUUGGCAAUUUUUCGUAUAUUGUACAAUGACAAACAAAACAAAUCUACUUUCGAACAGUCUAAACUUUGCCGAAAAUAAUCGUUUUGUUCUAACAAGUCGAAAAGUCGACUAUCAUGUAGAAAAUGUUAAUAAUCAAAAAAGUUAUAUAAAUGAGUUUGUUUUGCUAUGAAACAGUUAAGCGAAAAUGGGACCCUGUGUGAGUUGGCAAUUAAACAAGUAACCAAAGUUAACUAACCGAGUACUCAAGAACAAUUUCUUAAUAAUAAUUUAAACUUAAUCAUUAACGUUAAAACUGAUUCUAUAAGUUAAGAUACAAUUGUAGCAUAAAGUACUUUGUGCUUGCAGAGCCAGUGCAGGAAAAAACUUUUUCUUAGAGUGGACAAAAUUGGAACGUCAUGGACUUCAGUUUUGAAAAAGCGUUAACUUUUAUAAAUAUUUGGGAAAAUAUUUUUGAAUAUUUCAAUCUAAAAGAGCAAUUGUAUUUAACACAGGUUUGUUGGCAAUUUCGUCAUAUUGUGAAACAUUUGAUAUGGAAAAGAAAAUGUAAAGAAUUGAAAUUGUUUACAAUAGAAGAUAAAGCUAUAGCCUUAGUCACCAAUGAAGUAGACGAUGUCGUGCGUUAUAAUGCCUACACAGAUCCCAUGUUUAAACGUGAUUGCUCCGAUUAUAAAAUAACAGAUGUUUCCCAAAAUUCAAGUGUACUCUUAAAUUAUGUGGAAGUAAAAGAACUAUUACUUCUGAAUCUCACUAAUGUGAAAAAAAUACAAAUCGUUGAGGGUGCCAGUGAAUUGGAGAGGGAAAACAAACAAAGUAUUUUUAGGGUUUUAAUUCAAAAUGGGUUUCCACAACUAACGAGUUUAAACUUGUAUGGUAUUAACAGUUUAAACGCAGAUACAUUUCAGAAAAUUAACCUAUGUUGCCCACAGUUGGAGAAACUAGCUCUAAGUAAUUGUUUUUACUACAACAAUAACAAUGGUGUUUUGACUGAUCAUAGGGGAAUUAGCGCAAUUGCCGAUAUGAAAAUGUUGAAAUCAUUUAUUGUAAACGAAAAACACUACGACUAUGAACUGGAACAUAUUUUGUACGUUAUUAGACAGUUGCAACAUGUUGUACACCUUAUUUUAAAAGUAAACACCGUAGCCAGAAAUUUAGAUGGAAAUUCUGAGGCAAUAACUCUCAACUUUCCCGAUAAUAUAUGUCAAAUAAUCAGUUUUAAAUUGCGAGUUAAUUUUCCGAUUUUUUCCGUAAAUCCAAACUCAUUUCUUUUUGAUUUCAAAAAUCUGCAGGUAUUAUCAAUAACUGCUACCAACCUUUUCUUUUGUGUAAACAAAGAUGUGUUGGAAAAUUUAACAAGAACUUGCAAACAUUUAAAAAAUUUAUAUUUGAGUUUUUGUAAUAUCGAGAAUUUUUUUGCUUUACCUUCUUUAGAAACACUUACACUUAUAAAUUGUUGUCCCCUAAAUUGGAUGGACCUGAAAUCAAUUUUAAGCCAACAAAAUUUAAAAUCAUUCACAUCACUUUUUACAAGAUUUUCUAAUACUUUUAAACUUUUCCAUAUUGAAUCGGCUUUGGAAUAUUUGCGAAUAGAAACAAUGGAAUAUGAUUUUAGGGAUGAAUUAAAACAACUUUUAUUAUACAACUGCCAAAAAAUGAAAAACUUAUCCACCUUUAUAUGGCAUGAUUUUACACUUUGGUACGCUGACGAACCUAUUGCCAUGCAAUUUCCCCUAAAAGGCACUUAUCUCAAUUUGGAAUCAAUGUUUAUAGAUUUAAGUGUUAUUGUUAUGGAUGAUAUACUAAAAAUGAAAUGUCUUAAACAAUUAGCCUUUAUGGAUAAUGAGCAUGAAAUUAAUUUAAACAAUUUAUUAACUAUUUUCAAACAUUCUACAUUGGAAUCUUUUACACUUUACACACGAAAUGUUGAAUAUAAAGUGAAAAUUUCUACGAAUGAGUAUAUUGGCUAUAAAAUAAAUUUACGUUUAAUUCAAAUUCCUCUCAGUAUAUUUAAUAAAACAACAAAUAUUUGGCUAAGCAUACUAUUCACGAAUCCCCAACUGCAACUGGUUUGUUAUUGUAGUGAUUUCAAUGCCUUUAACGUUGAAUAUUUAAAAGAUUUGAUUGAAAAUCCUAAUUUUCCAGCAAGAAUUAAAUCUAUAAAAAUAUGUGGCUUAACGAUAGAUUGUAAGGAUUUAAAGGAGAAUCCGGAUAUUGUAUUGAAUUCGAUUAAGGCUGUUACUGAAUAUUGUGAUUUUUCUAAAAACACGUUGCAAUUAAAGCUCUAAAUCACGUCGUAUUUAUAAUUCUAUUAUGAGAAUUUAUUAAUUGCAAUGUCCACCUACUCCGGUCAUCGAAAUUAUGACCUCAGUAAGCUUCUUUAGAUGAUGACUGAUAUCUGAGUAUAAAUUGUUAUUGAUGAUGGAUAACAGCCAAAUCUAGAAAAUUUCUUAAUUCCUAAAACAGUUUGAGAAAUUGUCCAAGUGUUGUGUUAAGAUCAAGUAUUAACUGCAAAGGAUAUUUAGAAUUAAACAAGAGUUUCCUGUUCAGGAAACAAAAAAAUGGUAUACAAACCAACUGAGUACUGAACUAUAUAUGUACAUAUGUAUUAUGAAUAAUUAAUUUAUUUAUUAAUAUUAAUAUACAUCUGUGUAUAUAUUAAAUAUUUUUAAAUUUACUUUAUUAAUACUAAUUUCAACUACAUACUAAGUGUUUUGUUUAUUUUUUUUUUUACAUUAACAUUCAAAAAAGUUUUAGUUUUGUACAAAUGUUUGUAUACAACAUUUCAUAUAUAGUUUUUUUUUUAAUUAAACUUAAUACUAAUAGAACUAAAUUAAAUACUAAUUAAUUGUAAUAUUUUAUUAACUUAAUUAUGUUAUUAAAAAAAAGUAAACUUAAUUAAGAAAGAAAAUUAAAAAAAAACAUCUUAUUGUUUAAUACACUUUGAAAAGUAAAUGUUAAUUGAUUUUAGUACAAAGUUUUUGUAGUAAAGCGAAAUAUUAAAUUGAAAUAAAAUUAGAUUUGAAAAUGGCACAUGAUGGAAAGGUUUAACAUGUAAAUUAAAAACAAAAAUACGAUAAUGGAAGCAUGAUUAAAGCAUAAGUUUUAUGUGUUGUUAGUUAUAUAAUAAUUUCAAUAGUUUUUGUUUGUUUUUUGUUUAUUUAAGGCAUUGUUUGAUUUGAGAAAAAAAGGCACAAUGUCAUAUUUAUUUUACCAAUUUUUUGAAAAUUACCAAAAUUUUUUUGUUUAAGGCCAACAAAUAUAUUUAUUUGUCUAUAUUGUAUAGUGGUAUUUGCAACAAAAAAAAUUAAUUAAAAAAACUGCACUGUAUAAUAACCUGAUUAUACAAAAUUAUCUUUUAUGUUAUUUAUAAUACAUAUAAAUACUUUUAUAUCAAAUUAUUUUUUAAAUUUUUAGUUAUUUGUUUUUUUAUCAAUUAGUUUAUA